GUCCCGUACACCAGCGGCCUAAUACGCACGUGGCGUGAAAUAUGUCCGGGUUUUUUUUUUUUUUUUCAUAAUCAUUUUACUGUCGUAUAUUUUACAGUACCCCGGUGUCAGCUGACCCAUCUUGGCGCGUUACAUUCGAUAAAUAAUAUAUAGAAAUGUGUCCGACCAACGUGUCGUGUGAACGCACGUAAUUCGCACGUGACGACUUAUUCGUCCGUUACAUAUAAAGUUUAAGCGGGACGACAUUAUUAUUAUUAUUAUUAUUAUUAUUAUUAUUUUUUUUUUUUUUUUUUGUUGUUGUCGUUGUUGUUAUUCGGCUGUUCUUAUAUAGCGACGACUUUGCGACUCCGCUUCGGUUAAUAAAUAACCGAGUAGUGACGCGGUGACGCAUUGCUUUCGCGCCGGAGUAAUGAAAAAGUAAUAACCAAUUUAGUUUCCGCGCGACUGCAUUGUGUGUAUAAAGGUGGGCACUGUUACAGACGCCGUGGCCACUGUUUAAAACCGCGCGAAACAUAUUAUCAUCAUUACCGUUAUAACAUUAUAAUAUAUACGAUCGAUAAAAGAGGUUAUUAAAACGUUGUUCCGCCGAUAUCGUUCUACGGGUUCGGUUGUACCCGGUCCGCGUCUUGCAGUUCGACUCGGUACAACGAAUUUGCAUACGUAAAUAAAAGUUUGUCGGUGACAAAUCGUAAAAC